rnacentral:rRNA from 1 species
UACGGAGGGUGCGAGCGUUGUCCGGAAUCAUUGGGCGUAAAGGGCGCGUAGGCGGCCUUGCAAGUGACGGGUGAAAUCCCUCGGCUUAACCGAGGAACUGCCUGUCAAACUGCGUGGCUUGAGACCAGGAGAGGUGAGUGGAAUUCCCAGUGUAGCGGUGAAAUGCGUAGAUAUUGGGAGGAACACCAGUGGCGAAGGCGGCUCACUGGACUGGUACUGACGCUGAUGCGCGAAAGCGUGGGGAGCAAACAGG